AGUGAACGCUGGCGGCAGGCUUAACACAUGCAAGUCGAGCGAGCGGCGGACGGGUGUGUAAUGUCUGGGAAACUGCCUGAUGGAGGGGGAUAACUACUGGAAACGGUAGAUAAUCCCGCAUACCAUCAGAUGUGCCCAGAUGGGAUUAGCGAAUAGGUGGGGUAAUGGCUCACCAAGGCGACGCUCCCUAGCUGGUCUGAGAGGAUGACCAGUCACACUGUACCUGAGACACGGGCCCGACUCCUACGUGAGGAAGCAGUGGGAAAUAUUGCACAAUGGUAGCAAGCACAAUUCAGCCAUGCCGAGUGUGUGAAGAAGGCCUUCGGGUUGUAAAGCACUUUCAGCGAGGGGGCGUUGCUCGCAGAAGAAGCACCGGCUAACUCCGUGCCAGCAGCCGCGGUAAUUC
rnacentral:rRNA from 1 species